rnacentral:rRNA from 1 species
GAUGAACGCUGGCGGCGUGCCUAAUACAUGCAAGUCGAGCGAACAGACGAGGAGCUUGCUCCUCUGACGUUAGCGGCGGACGGGUGAGUAACACGUGGAUAACCUACCUAUAAGACUGGGAUAACUUCGGGAAACCGGAGCUAAUACCGGAUAACAUGUUGAACCGCAUGGUUCAACAGCGAAAGACGGUCUUGCUGUCACUUAUAGAUGGAUCCGCGCCGCAUUAGCUAGUUGGUAAGGUAACGGCUUACCAAGGCAACGAUGCGUAGCCGACCUGAGAGGGUGAUCGGCCACACUGGAACUGAGCCACGGUCCAGACUCCUACGGGAGGCAGCAGUAGGGAAUCUUCCGCAAUGGGCGAAAGCCUGACGGAGCAACGCCGCGUGAGUGAAGAAGGUCUUCGGAUCGUAAAACUCUGUUAUUAGGGAAGAACAAAUGUGUAAGUAACUAUGCACGUCUUGACGGUACCUAAUCAGAAAGCCACGGCUAACUACGUG